rnacentral:rRNA from 1 species
GUCUUUUAGAUAAUAAUUUAAAGUCUGGCCUGCCCACUGAAAAUUUUGAAGGGCCGCGGUAUAUUGACUGUGCAAAGGUAGCAUAAUCAUUAGUCUUUUAAUUGAAGGCUUGUAUGAAUGGUUGGAUGAGAUAUUAACUGUCUCAAUUUAAUAAUAUAGAAAUUAAUUUUUAAGUUAAAAAGCUUAAAUAAAAUUAGAGGACGAGAAGACCCUAUAGAUCUUUAUAAUUUAUAAAUUAAUAAGGAUUUUUGUAAAUAGAAUUAUUUUUUUAUAAAUUAUUUUGUUGGGGUGACAAAUAAAUUUAAUAAACUUUAUUUAAUAUAAACAUUUAUUUAUGAAUAAUUGAUCCAUUAUUAGUGAUUAUAAGAUUAAGUUACCUUAGGGAUAACAGCGUAAUUUUUUUAGAGAGUUCAUAUCGAUAAAAAAGUUUGCGACCUCGAUGUUGAAUUAAAGAUUAGUUUAGGUGUAGCAGUUUAAAUUUUUGGUCUGUUCGACCAUUAAAUC